UGGCUCCAGUAAGCGCCCUUGUAUCCUAUUGAGUGAGUCAAGGAUAAUAAGCCUGGUCCCUGGCAGGAUGCAGGAUUCUAUCCUGAGAUACACUCCCUCCUUUCCCCUAUUCCAGCCCACCAGGGCCUCUCCUCCGGGCAGGAAACAUGAUCUCCUUUUGAC
rnacentral:lncRNA from 1 species